rnacentral:ncRNA from 2 species
CAGCCUUCGUCCGUGCAUGGUGCCAUCGCAGAUCCGAUGGCAGGGAACAGGACAGCCAUCCCGCCUGCGGCUUGCAGGAGGGCAAGAGCCAAAUCCGACCGCCCCCGCGACUGUGAGCGGCGAGCCGACCCGAAAAUCCACUGUGGCCCGGACUGACGCCGGACAUGGGAAGGGCGGGAAGGCAGCGACCCGCAAGUCAGGAGACCGACCUUGCAGUCUGGCUCAGC